GCCGACAUAAUUAAACGGUAUAAUGACGCACCUGUAAUGCGUUCUUCCUAGUUCAAAUCUGGGUGUCGGCACCA
rnacentral:tRNA from 1 species